GCGACUUUGAUACUGGUGGAGCAGUUGGGCGCUCCUCGCUUCUUGCUCUUCCUUAACCUUUAAAUACUGUUAAACUACCUUCUUCCCUACCUGCCUCCUUUCCUUCCUCUCCCCAGACCUGCCAGCUUUUCGUCACCAAUAUCUCUUUCCGGUCUUGCUCAACCUGCUCGUCGUCCUAUGUCCUCCAUCCAGUUUAGGGUGCUAUUUGCCAUAAGCCUAGAAUUAUUGCCAACUCCUCCUCUGUAAUUCCCCCUACAGAUUUUGCAGAUCUUUUCUGUCCACUAUAAUGGCGAUAAUGAUCGUAUUGAUGAUUCCUGUUUAUAUGUCUAGGAUUUCUGUAUACUAAAAUACUCGGGGUUUUGGGGGUGGGGAGGGAGGAACAUUGCCAUUUAAAAACUGCUUUUUCAGGGGCACCUGGCUGACCCAGUUGGUAGAGCAUGCGACUCUUGAUCUCCUGGUCGUGAGUUUGAGCCCCACGUUUGGUGUAGAGAUUACAUAAAUACAAUUUUUUAAAAACUGCUGUUUUCAGUCUGUAGUACAGAGAACCUUCAGGUCAUCUUCAUAGCACAUGUCCUUGGUCUGGAAUGAACACUUUGAGAGGCCCCUUUCCUUUGGAUGUAAGGCUAGUACCACCUACCCACGGUUCUGGUAGAAGAGUAUCAAGGAGUAUGUAUUAGCUUGGCAAAGACCUGUAUCUUAGAUGUGUUGAUGAAGUGAGGAAAUGCCCCUGUAUUAUUUACAUCUUCUGGGAAGGAAGCUGAAUGCAGACUCCUUUCUUUAAAGUUCCAGGUUUACUGGAACCUACCCAAAGGACAGAGGAUGAACUGACUGAGGCCAGCUGGCAGCAAAGAACAACACGAGCCCCCAUCAUCGUAGAAUCAGAAAAUUCCCAACCAUGUCAGGAAACAAGCACUCUCGACUUCUCUGCUCAAGAAAGAGAAAAAGGAAAAAUGUGCUACCUAAGUCACUGCUUGGCCAUGGAACGCAAGCUAUAAGGUUAUUAGUAUCCUGUACAGCAAGAGGAGAUCGCAUGUGUAUCCCCUGAAAGAUACAUGAAGAAUACAAACUACCAUUCAUUCAUUUACUUCUUUCAUGGAACUGCAGGGUGAUACUUCAUUAAUAUUCAUUCUCUUCUACUACAGGGAAUGCUAGUCUGUCUUUCCCUCUAGAAAUGUAAACUCUAGGAGGGCAGCAAUGAUGAUACCAAUGAUCAUUAGUCUGUUUUUUCAAUUCUAUAUCCCCAUCUUACAGAGCAGUGUCGGGCACCCCACAGACAUUCAAUAAAUAUUUUGAAUGAAUGGAGUUCA
rnacentral:lncRNA from 1 species